AGAUUACAUACAUUAAUUUAGAUAAAGAUUCUCAGUGUAAUAUAGAUCAGAAUAUUAGCCAACCCAGUAGCUCAUCUACUAAUACAAUUCAACAAAUACAACCACAACAUAUACAGCCCCAAAUAUUACAACCAAUUACUAGAGAUAACUUUUACCCUCCAAUUUCAAAUAUAUUAACAAAUGUGGCCCAAAUACAAAGUUUUGCAUUUAACCACACUAAUAAUCAAACUACUUUUACAAGUAGAUUACAAAUAUUUUUUUAAAAUUAUAUUUUAAUAUAAUUAGACCUGGAAG